GCGGCCGUGGCGAACUCGGCGGACACGUCGGUCUUCCCCACCGAAGAGGACGGUUCGAUGCCCUCCGGCCGCUC
rnacentral:tRNA from 1 species